rnacentral:lncRNA from 1 species
AUUGUGCCUCUCUCUUUUAGAUCUGCCAGCCCCAGCAGUUCAGCUGCAGUCUCAGCAGUCCUCUGCUGUGGUCUUUCAUUUACCGGCUGCACCAGUUCCUACUACACUGGCCGUGAAGGGAGAAACUGUUGAGGAGACCCAGAUGGAUACAGAUCUGCCUGACAGCCUCACCCAGAAGACACUGGGCCUAUCAAGACUGACAAAGCAGAGAUGGGUGGCUGACAAGGAAAAAUAAAACACAACACACAUUAUCCACAAUUCCCUUUUCUCACCUCUUCUCACAGACGCAGGGCUGCGGGUUUUGGCAGAGAGCUACACACAGAGAGGCCUCAAUAUUCAGCUAUACAGUGAGUAUAAGUACAAUGGCACGUCAGCAAAUUAAUAACAACAUAAUCAAUGUUGGGG